rnacentral:rRNA from 1 species
GAUGAACGCUGGCGGCGUGCCUAACACAUGCAAGUCGAGCGGACGGACGAGAAGGUUGCUUGUCGGAUGUUAGCGGCGGACGUGAGAGAAACGCGUGUAUAACCUCCUUAUGGAUAUGGGAGAACUAGGGGAAACAGUAGCUAAUACCGUAUAAGAUUCUGAACCGCGGAGUUCAAAAGUGCAAGACGGCGGUGCGGUCACUUGUAGAUGGAUCAGCGCUUGAUUAGCUAGUUGGUAAGGUAACGGCUUACCAAGGCAACGAUGCAUAGCCGACCUGAGAGGGUGAUCGGCCACACUGGAACUGAGACACGGUCCAGACUCCUACGGGAGGCAGCAGUAGGGAAUCUUCCGCAAAGGGCGAAAGCCUGACGCAGCAACGCCGCGUGAGUGAUGAAGGUCUUCGGAUCGUAAAACUCUGUUAUUAGGGACGAACAGAUGUGUAAUUGAAUGUGCACAUCUUGACGGUACCGAAUCAGAAAGCACCGGCUAACUACGUG